rnacentral:tRNA from 1 species
GGGCCCUUAGCUCAGUUGGUUAGAGCGGCGGACUCAUAAUCCGUUGGUCGCUGGUUCAAGUCCGGCAGGGCCCA